rnacentral:rRNA from 1 species
GAAAUGCGAUAAGUAAUGUGAAUUGCAGAAUUCAGUGAAUCAUCGAAUCUUUGAACGCACCUUGCGCUCCUUGGUAUUCCUUGGAGCAUGCCUGUUUGAGUAUCAUGAGCAAAUCUCAAAGUCGAUCCUUUUGUUAAUUCAAUUGGUUUUGCUUUGGACUUGGAGGUCUUGCAGAUUUCACCAUCUGCUCCUCUUAAAUGCAUUAGCUGGAUCUCAGUAUUUAUGCUUGGUUCCACUCGGCGUGAUAAGUAUCACUCGCUGAGGACACUGGUAAAAAGGUGGCCAGGGUAAAUGCAGAUGAACCCGCUUCUAAUAGUCCAUUGAUUUGGACAAAAUAAUAAUAAUGAUCUGAUCUCAAAUCAGGUAGGGCUAACCCGCUGAACUUAAGCAUAUCAAUAAGCGGAAGGAAAAG